GAUGAACGCUGGCGGCGUGCCUAAUACAUGCAAGUCGAGCGAACAGACGAGGAGCUUGCUCCUCUGACGUUAGCGGCGUACGGGUGAGUAACACGUUGAUAACCUACCUAUAAGACUGGGAUAACUUCGGGAAACCGGAGCUAAUACCGGAUAAUAUAUUGAACCGCAUGGUUCAAUAGUGAAAGACGGUUUUGCUGUCACUUAUAGAUGGAUCCGCGCCGCAUUAGCUAGUUGGUAAGGUAACGGCUUACCAAGGCGACGAUGCGUAGCCGACCUGAGAGGGUGACCGGCCACACUGGAACUGAGACACGGUCCAGACGCCUACGGGAGGCAGCAGUAGGGAAUCUGCCGCAAUGGGCGAAAGCCUGACGGAGCAACGCCGCGUGAGUGAUGAAGGUCUUCGGAUCGUAAAACUCUGUUAUUAGGGAAGAACAAAUGUGUAAGUAACUAUGCACGUCUUGACGGUACCUAAUCAGAAAGCCACGGCUAACUACGUG
rnacentral:rRNA from 1 species